GACGAACGCUGGCGGCGUGCCUAACACAUGCAAGUCGAACGGAGUAAGUAGCAAUACUUACUUAGUGGCGAACGGGUGAGUAACGCGUAGACAACCUGCCUCUAAAUUGGGGACAACACCGCGAAAGUGGUGCUAAUACCGAAUGUGGUAUCUUGGUUGCAUAACCAAGAUAAGAAAGAUGGCCUCUACAUGUAAGCUAUCGUUUAGAGAUGGGUCUGCGUCUGAUUAGCUAGUUGGUGAGGUAACGGCUCACCAAGGCGACGAUCAGUAGCCGGUCUGAGAGGAUGAACGGCCACACUGGGACUGAGACACGGCCCAGACUCCUACGGGAGGCUG
rnacentral:rRNA from 1 species